UACGUAGGUGGCGAGCGUUGUCCGGAAUUAUUGGGCGUAAAGAGCAUGUAGGCGGUUUUUUAAGUCUGGAGUGAAAAUGCGGGGCUCAACCCCGUAUGGCUCUGGAUACUGGAAGACUUGAGUGCAGGAGAGGAAAGGGGAAUUCCCAGUGUAGCGGUGAAAUGCGUAGAUAUUGGGAGGAACACCAGUGGCGAAGGCGCCUUUCUGGACUGUGUCUGACGCUGAGAUGCGAAAGCCAGGGUAGCGAACGG
rnacentral:rRNA from 1 species